rnacentral:rRNA from 1 species
UACGUAGGGUGCGAGCGUUAAUCGGAAUUACUGGGCGUAAAGCGCGCGUAGGCGGCUUUUGUAAGUUAGAGGUGAAAGCCCGGAGCUCAACUCCGGAAUUGCCUUUAAGACUGCAUCGCUAGAAUCAUGGAGAGGUGAGUGGAAUUCCGAGUGUAGAGGUGAAAUUCGUAGAUAUUCGGAAGAACACCAGUGGCGAAGGCGACUCACUGGACAUGUAUUGACGCUGAGGUGCGAAAGCGUGGGGAGCAAACAGG